AUAGUAGCAAAAAGACAGGUCUCGCCUCCAAUCUUACUGUGUCCUUCAAGGUUCUAUACCUCUUUGUAUGUUCUGUAUACUUCACUCUCUACCCAAUGAUCCCCAUAAAUCUCACUCUAUAAGUCUGUUAAACAAAACUUUCUUCAUAGCCGUUAGACUCGGCUGACACAUUAAAACAUUUCUUCUGCUAUUAGUACUCUCUUCUCAGCUCUGCUUUCCUGUUGGCAAACAAGUUCCAUGGCUGGAGAAAGUGGUUAGGACUUGGCAUAUAGAAAUGGAAAUCAACUUGUGUGUGCUUUCAUUGUUAAAGGAGCCCUCUGUUGCCUUGGAAACCACAGUCUGUGUAGAAGAAGUAGUGUAUUUUGUGGGUAGAUGAUUGAACAAUCAGGUAUGCUAUGUGUAAACAUCAUGCAUCUGUGUAAAGAAGCAUUGGCCAAGCUUUGUUGGCAGUAAGACCAGAAUCUGGUUUUGGUAUAAGUCACAUGUCUGCUAAAGUAUAUUUGCAAAAUGUUUCUUGGGCAGAGCAAAUAUUAUAAGGAACAUAACUUUGUGAGUUUUCCUUUGAACCCAUGCCUCACAGAAAGUAUAGCCAAAAGAGGGAAAGUGACUCAAAACCCAAGCCAUAUAUUCAAGCCUUCCAUUCAUCAUUUCAGGCCUCCUGGUGGCUUAGAAGAGUCAAAGUACCUCCUUAAGUGCCUUUAUGCAGAGGGGAGCUUAUUCAACUGAUGGCAUCUAACCAGAUACUCUACAAUAUCUUGUCAAAGUCCCCCUGGUCUAACUAGUCUAUGAGAUAAGAAGAAUUGCCACACUCCUCACAAUCAGAUGCCUGAAAGCUGAUGUCAGAAUGGUUCCUGCUAAGAAAUUAACGCAUACUGAUAAUUUCAAGAGUGAAGUAUAACUUCUUUUUUUAUUUUAAUUUUUAUUUAUUUUAUUUAUUUUUUAUAAUAAAUUUAUUUUUUAUUGCUGUUCA
rnacentral:lncRNA from 12 species